rnacentral:sRNA from 1 species
CUUGGUCAUUUAGAGGAAGUAAAAGUCGUAACAAGGUCUCCGUUGGUGAACCAGCGGAGGGAUCAUUACAGAGUUUAACCACUCAAAACCAUUGUGAACCUUACCUCAACCGUUGCUUCGGCGGGCGGGCCCCAAAAGCCCCCCCGGCCCCUCGCGGGCGCCCGCCGGAGGUAAAUCGAACCCUUGAAUUGUAUGGCCUCUCUGAGUCUUCUGUACUGAAUAAGUCAAAACUUUCAACAACGGAUCUCUUGGUUCUGGCAUCGAUGAAGAACGCAGCGAAAUGCGAUAAGUAAUGUGAAUUGCAGAAUUCAGUGAAUCAUCGAAUCUUUGAACGCACAUUGCGCCCGCCAGUAUUCUGGCGGGCAUGCCUGUCCGAGCGUCAUUUCAACCAUCAAGCCCCGGGCUUGUGUUGGGGCCCUGCGGCUGCCGCAGGCCCUGAAAACCAGUGGCGGGCUCGCUAGUCACUCCGAGCGUAGUAGUUUACACCUCGCUCAGGGCGUGCUGCGGGUUCCGGCCGUUAAAAGCCUUAUUUUACCCAAGGUUGACCUCGGAUCAGGUAGGAAGACCCGCUGAACUUAAGCAUAUCAAUAAGCGGAGGAAAAGAAACCAACAGGGAUUGCCCUAGUAACGGCGAGUGAAGCGGCAACAGCUCAAAUUUGAAAUCUGGCCUCGGCCCGAGUUGUAAUUUGCAGAGGAAGCUUUGGGUGCGGUACCGACUGAGUCCCCUGGAACGGGGCGCCACAGAGGGUGAGAGCCCCGUAUAGUCGGACGCCAAACCUGUGUAAAGCUCCUUCGACGAGUCGAGUUGUUUGGGAAU